AUUUUUUUUAUUAUUAAUUUAGUGUUAAAAAAUUAAUAAAAGUAAUUUUAGUUAUUUUUAUUUUUAGUAUAUUUUAUAGAUAAAAUUAUUUUAAUUAUAGUUAAUUAGUAUUGUUUAAGAAUUAUGAGAUAGAAUAAAAAAUUUUUAAAAGUAAAAUUAGUUUUUUGUACCUUGUGUAUCAGGGUUUAUUAAUUUAUAUUAAUAAAUUUUUAAUUUCCCGAUUUUAAGAGAUUGAUCAAAUUAUUUUCUUUAUUGUUAAAAAAAUAUUUAAAAUUAUUUGUUGGUAAUGAAAUGUUAUUCGUUCUUAAAUAUAUCUGGUUAAUUUAGAAAUAAAUUUAAUUUAGUUAAUUAAAUUUUAUAAUUAUAUUUAUUUAUAAUUAUAUAUUUUAUUAAUAAUAAUUAAAGGGAUAAGCUUUUAAUUAAAAUUUUAAAAUUUAUAAAUGUUUAAUAAAAAUAUAGGUUUAGAAUUAUCUUUUUUUUAUAGUUUGUUAUAAAUAUUUUAUUUUAUAUUAUUAUUUUAUAUAAAUUUAAUUUUUUAUAAAUUAAUAUUAUUAAAUUAGAAUUUAUUAUUUAUAAUGAUAAAAUUAGUAUAAAAUUUUAUUUAAAUAAAUUUGUUUAUUAGAUUAAUUAAAGGAAUUCGGCAAAAAUUUUAUUCGCCUGUUUAACAAAAACAUGUCCUUUAGAUUUAAAUUAAAGGUCUAACCUGCCCACUGAAAAUUUUAAAUGGCCGCGGUAAAUUGACUGUGCAAAGGUAGCAUAAUCAGUAGUUUUUUAAUUAAAAGCUUGUAUGAAUGGUUGGACGAAAUAAAAUCUGUCUUUAUUUAAUGAUUAGAAUUUAAUUUUUAAGUUAAAAAGCUUAAAUUUAAUUAAAAGACGAGAAGACCCUAUAGAUCUUUAUAAUAAUUUAUUUAUUUGUAUUAAAGUUUAUAUUUUAUUUUAGGUAUUUUAUUAUUUUAUUGGGGUAAUAAAAAGAUUUGAAUAAUUCUUUUUUUAUUAAACAAUGAUAUUUGAAUAAUUGAUCCAUUUUUUUUGAUUAUAAGAUUAAGUUACCUUAGGGAUAACAGCGUAAUUUUUUUAAAGAGUUCUUAUCGAUAAAAAAGUUUGCGACCUCGAUGUUGGAUUAAAAAUUAUUCUAGGUGUAGUAGUUUAGAAUUUUGGUCUGUUCGACCAUUAAAUUUUUACAUGAUCUGAGUUCAAACCGGUGUAAGCCAGGUUGGUUUCUAUCUUUAGUAAAAUAAUAUAUUUUAGUACGAAAGGACCAAAUAUUAAGUAUAUAAAUAUUUUUUUUAUUGUUUAUUAUU
rnacentral:rRNA from 1 species